AUGCUUACUAGGUAGGGGGAUACCAUGAUCAUAAAGUUGGUUUUCCCAGGGUGAGGCUUAUUCAUUACAUUCCAUAUGUGCUGACCCCGGUGG
rnacentral:snRNA from 10 species